GACGAACGCUGGCGGCGUGCCUAAUACAUGCAAGUCGAACGCACUCUCGUUUAGAUUGAAGGAGUUUGCUCCUGAUUGAUAAACAUUUGAGUGAGUGGCGGACGGGUGAGUAACACGUGGGUAACCUGCCCUAAAGUGGGGGAUAACAUUUGGAAACAGAUGCUAAUACCGCAUAAAACCUAACACCGCAUGGUGUAGGGUUGAAAGAUGGUUUCGGCUAUCACUUUAGGAUGGACCCGCGGUGCCUUAGUUAGUUGGUGAGGUAAAGGCUCACCAAGACCGUGAUGCAUAGCCGACCUGAGAGGGUAAUCGGCCACACUGGGACUGAGACACGGCCCAGACUCCUACGGGAGGCAGCAGUAGGGAAUCUUCCACAAUGGACGAAAGUCUGAUGGAGCAACGCCGCGUGAGUGAAGAAGGUUUUCGGAUCGUAAAACUCUGUUGUUGGAGAAGAAUGUAUCUGAUAGUAACUGAUCAGGUAGUGACGGUAUCCAACCAGAAAGCCACGGCUAACUACGUG
rnacentral:rRNA from 1 species